rnacentral:tRNA from 1 species
GGCGACAUAGCCAAGUGGUAAGGCAGAGGUCUGCAAAACCUCCAUCCCCCGGUUCAAAUCCGGGUGUCGCCUUCA